AAGAAACCACAGAGGACAGAGAAGUCAUUUCUCGGCUAUUUCAUUUACUUCACACAAACGAGUAUAACAAAACCCAAAGCAACUAGUCAACCAACAACCACGAAAAGUAAAGAAGAAAACCAAGAAGCCAAAGCACUACAGCAGACAUGCAGAAUCUCAAAAGAAAUCCACGCUUGCUUUUACAGUGGAGAGAUCUUUGGCUAUUGGCAAAGGUGGUCAUUGCAGGCUUUGGCAUGUUGGGGAAACCCUGGGAGAGCUUUGGCUGACAAGGUCUGCUCUUACCUUGGCAACAUAAUCAUUGUUUGCUUCAUGAAGAGACUGCGCAAAGACUAGCAUAAAAGAGCACCGUUCCUGGGAUCUAAGAUUGUCUACCUACAAAGAACUGCAAGGAUCUUUGUUUAUUUUUUUGCUUUUAAAGUCAACUUAGGGGCCGUAAAAAUCGCUGUGUUUAGAAGCACUUGCUGCUCCUGUAGAGGACCCCUGUUUAGUUCCCAGCACCUACAACACGGAGCUCAUGACUACCUGUAUCCCUAGCUCCAGGGAAUUGACCACCCUCUUCUGGCUUCUGAUGGCACAGCACUCAUGUUCAUGUACACACUCACAGAUACAUAAUUAAAAUGAAAAUAAAAUCUUAAAAAUAGGGACUGACUGACCUUCAGAGACUUGAGCCUGGUACAAUGGCGCCUUCCAGGAAGUUCUUCAUUGGGGGCAACUGGAAGAUGAACAGGAGGAAGAAGUGCCUGGGAGAACUCAUCUGCACCCUGAAUGUACCCAACGUGCCGGCAGGCACUGAGGUGGUUUGUACACCGCCCACCGCUUACAUCGACUUUGCCAGAAAGAAGCUGGAUCCCAAAAUUGCUGUGGCCCGCACAGAACUGCUACAAAGUGACCAAUGGGGCCUUCACUGGGGAAAGGACCCCUGGCAUGAUCAAAGACUUAGGAGCCACCUGGGUCGUGCUGGGACACUCGGAAAGAAGACAUGUCUUUGGGGAAUUAGACAUGUCUUUGGGGAAUCAGAUUGGCCAGAAAGUGAACCACGCCCUGGCAGAGGAACUCGGGGGUGAUCGCCUGCAUCGGGGAGAAGCUGGACGAAAGGGAAGCUGGCAUCACCGAGAAGGUCGUGUUCGAGCAAACCAAGGUCAUCGCAGAUAAUGUGAAAGACUGGAGCAAGGUGGUCCUGGCCUAUGAACUUGUGUGGGCCAUUGAGACUGGCAAGACUGCAACCCCUCAACAGGCCCCAGAAAUACAGGAGAAGCUCCGGGGAUGGCUGGAAUCCAAUGUCAAUGAUGGGGUGGCUCAGAGCACCUGGAUCAUUUAUGGAGGUUCUGUGACUGGAGCAACCCGCAAAGAGCUGGCAAGCCAGCCUGACAUGGACGGCUUCCUCGUGGGUGGCACAUCUCUCAAGCCUGAAUUUGUGGACAUCAUCAAUGCCAAACAAUGAGCAUUGCCCAUCCCUCUACCUGCCUGCAUAGAUGGACUAGGUUGCCCAGAAGUUUAGUAACUGCUCCCACCAGCCACAUGCUUCUGAUGACAUCAUCUGCCCCAUCUUGUGGCCUAAUCCACACUGUACCUUCCUGAGCCGUUUCCACCUCCCCAUAAUGGUUGGGACCAGGCCAAUCCCUUUACCACUUACAGUGGGUAGACUCAACUGUCACCAAGGUGGCUCCUGGGGAGGGGAGGGAGUAGAACUGACUGUCCCUUUGGGCCCUGACAAGUGAAAUCACCUACCAUUGGUUUGGGCUGGAAACUCAUGGUUGGAGCACAGGAAGUGGGCUUCGUGUCACUUUGGCCUGUCACUUAGAUGGCCUUGGCUCUAGCUUCACUCCCAAGCCCUACUGGAUGUCUGAUGCAGAAAUUCAGAGCCUUCGGGUCUGAAUUUCAGUAUACUUGAAGGCCGAAAUCCUAUAAGGCCUGGGAUAGUCCCCUCCCCCACGGUGCCGAAGCCCCUGUUUUGUGUUUGUGAACCAUCCUACAUGUAAGGGAAACAAACACCUGGGCCUAAAAAAAAAAUCUUAAAAAUAACUUAGGUAUUACCUCAUCGUCAUGAAGUAGCUUCUGAGGAAAAAUCUGUAAGAGUGUAUAGAAGUUGUGAAGGAGAAGAAGAGGAUGAAGAAAGAUACAAAGAAGAAUGUAUUGUAGAAUCUGAUAGAUUGAAAUUGAUAAUUUUUAAAGGGACUGGGGAAUGUCUUAUUUGUUAAGCAUAAAGUCCGGUCAAACAUAGACUCUUGGUUAUAGCUAUCUAAAUGGAGUUACGUGGAAAAAUCUAGAUCAUUCUUAUUUUUCAUUAUCAAAACUAGAAAGCAGACUCCUUGAGUUUAGAAAUAGUGGGUACAUACUGAACAUUACUGUCUGGCCCACGGAUUUGACGGUGAAGAGACUUGUUUCAGCUACUCCAGGAUAUGAAGUUAUUUGAGGCAGGGGCAUGCAUGUGUGUGUGUGUGCAUGCAUGUGUUUAUGUGUGUAUAAGCCUGUGUUUGCCAUGGAGAUUGGAUCACAUGAAUCAUACUUCAGUACAAGUCAGUUAACAUGAGACAAUAUGACAGAAAUCAAUCUUAUACUUUGUUUUUAUUUUUUUUUAACCCCUGUCUUCUAUUUUGUGUCUUUUCAGUUUUAGCCUAGAAACAGGAGUGGAAACCAUGUCAUCAUGUCAUUUAAAGAAAUAUAAUUUUGUUUUGCUUCUUUAGGACUUUAUGAUCUACAGGUUUGGAAGUCCUCUUUGAUAAGUGCUUGAGACUUCUGUAGACUCCUGUUGGUGUUUUAUGUUCUUGUUUGAUACUCUGUUUCCAUCAGUUCCUUUUCUCACUGCUGUGACAAAGUUCUUGACAACAGCAACUUAAGGAGGGAAGGGUAUAUUCCCUCCCACCCCCCACACAGUUUGAAAUUACAGUUAUCACCAUGGCAAAUCUUAGCAGCAGGGAUUUGAGGUGGCUGUGCAUAUUGCAUCUUUAGUCAGAAGUUCAAUAGAGAUAAGUGCUGCUGUUAGAUCACUCUUCUUCAUUUGCCUCAGUCUGGGGUCUUAGCCCAUGAGAUGAUGCUACCUAUUUGGGGUGUAUUUUCCUUCCUUAGUUGAAACUUUCUGGAAACACCCACAGAUAUGUUUCCUUGGUGAUUCUAAAUCCAAUCAGGUUGCCAAGGAGACUGAACUUUAUAUUCACAGUGUAUUCAUACCCUGUAUGUGUGAACAUACAAUUCAUGUUUACUGUGUAUAUAACAUACAAUUCAUAUUUACUGAGUUAAUAAUGACGAAUUCAGUGCGCCAUAAAGGUCAUAGUUUUGUGAGAUGGAAGACUGAGAAUAUGGUGAGAAUAUUUGGCUGGAAUAAAAGUAAAAUGGAGAUGACUUCAAGGAUUAAGGCAGCUAUA